CCAUAUUUACACAUAUUUACAUAUUUACAAAUGUUCCACAUAGGUUCACAUUGUUUCACAGAAAACAAAGUCACUCAGCUCCCUCAUGACCCGCAGCAUUUGUGCCAACACGCUCAUCUUCUGCAAUGGCUAUAACUCGAGCACGAGUAAUCGAACACCUGAACUGUCCAGACUCAUUGGGAUGCUCCAAAUAGUUUGCACCCUUUCCAAAGAAGUGUUAUAUGCAUAACCCAUUUCCCUAACCUUUCUUUUCCACACUCGCACAUUAUAUUCUAAGUAUCAGAUAU
rnacentral:lncRNA from 1 species